AUUGAACGCUGGCGGCAUGCUUUACACAUGCAAGUCGAGCGGCAGCGCGGGGGUAACCCUGGCGGCGAGCGGCGAACGGGUGAGUAAUACAUCGGAACGUGUCCCGUAGUGGGGGAUAGCUCGGCGAAAGCCGGAUUAAUACCGCAUAUGCUCUACGGAGGAAAGCGGGGGACCCGCAAGGGCCUCGCGCUAUGGGAGCGGCCGAUGUCCGAUUAGCUAGUUGGUGGGGUAAAGGCCCACCAAGGCGACGAUCGGUAGCUGGUCUGAGAGGAUGAUGAGCAAGACUGGGACUUGGACACGGCCCAGACUCCUACGGGAGGCAGCAGUGGGGAAUUUUGGACAAUGGGGGAAACCCUGAUUCAGCCAUGCCGCGUGCGGGAAGAAGGCCUUCGGGUUGUAAACCGCUUUUGUCCGGAAAGAAAAGGCGUCUCCUAAUACGGGACGCUCUUGACGGUACCGGAAGAAUAAGCACCGGCUAACUACGUGCCAGCCGCCGCCGUAA
rnacentral:rRNA from 1 species